CCUACGGGCGGCAGCAGUGGGGAAUAUUGCACAAUGGGGGAAACCCUGAUGCAGCGACGCCGCGUGAGUGAAGAAGUAUUUCGGUAUGUAAAGCUCUAUCAGUAGGGAAGAAAAUGACGGUACCUGAUUAAGAAGCCCCGGCUCACUACGUGCCAGCAGCCGCGGUAAUACGUAGGGGGCAAGCGUUAACCGGAUUUACUGGGUGUAAAGGGAGAGUAGACGGCAGCACAAGUCUGGAGUGAAAGGCUGGUGCUUAACCCCGGACUUGCUUUGGAAACUGUGCAGCUAGAGGGCACGAGAGGUAAGUGGAAUUCGUGGUGUAGCGGUGAAAUGCGUAGAUAUUAGGAAGAACCCCAGUGGCGAAGGCGGCUUACUGGACUGUAACUGACGUUGAGGCUCGAAAGCGUGGGGAGCGAACAGGAUUAGAUACCCGUGUAGUC
rnacentral:rRNA from 1 species